rnacentral:misc_RNA from 1 species
GAUGAAGAACGCAGCGAACUGCGAUAAGUAAUGUGAAUUGCAGAAUUCAGUGAAUCAUCGAGUCUUUGAACGCACAUUGCGCCCCCUGGUAUUCCGGGGGGCAUGCCUGUCCGAGCGUCAUUGCUGCCCUCAAGCACGGCUUGUGUGUUGGGCCUCCGUCCUCCUCCCGGGGGACGGGCCCGAAAGGCAGCGGCGGCACCGCGUCCGGUCCUCGAGCGUAUGGGGCUUCGUCACCCGCUCUUGUAGGCCCGGCCGGCGCUUGCCGACACAUCAAUCUUUUUUCCAGGUUGACCUCGGAUCAGGUAGGGAUACCCGCUGAACUUAAGCAUAUCAAUAGCGGAGGA